rnacentral:lncRNA from 1 species
AUCUUAUCCCCUGCUUCCCCGCUUCCUCUUCCUCCUCCCCCUCACUCCCCAAGCGAAGCCUCGAGAAUCCCAAUGGCUUCCACCACGUUCUCCUCCGCCUUCUCCAUCCUCUCGCUCCCCUCCUCCUCACCAUCCCCCUCCGUUUCGGUCCCCAGGACUCUCCCCGUGGCUAACCGCCGCCGCCGCGCCGUCGCCGUUGCCUCCACCGCCACCGAAUCCCCGAAGGUCAUCGAGCUCGGCGACGCCAUUGCCGGGCUUACACUGGAGGAGGCGCGUAACCUCGUGGACCAUCUUCAGGAGCGUCUCGGCGUCUCCGCCGCCAGCUUCGCGCCCGCUGCCGCCGUCGCGGCGCCCGCGGCCGCGGUGGCCGAGGAGGCCCCGGUAGAGAAGACGGAAUUUGACGUGGUCAUCGAGGAGGUGCCCAGCAGCGCGCGUAUUGCGAC